rnacentral:rRNA from 1 species
CCCUUAGAUGUUCUGGGCCGCGCGCGCUACACUGUUCGACGCAGCGAGUCUUAACCUUGACCGAAAGGUUUGGGUAAUCUUCAGCAAAGUCGAACGUGAUGGGGAUCGAUCAUUGCAAUUAUUGAUCGUGAACGAGGAAUUCCUAGUAAGUGCAAGUCAUCAGCUUGCGCUGAUUACGUCCCUGCCCUUUGUACACACCGCCCGUCGCUACUACCGAUUGAAUGGUUUAGUGAGAUCUCUGGAUUGACGCUGGCUAGGGGGCGACCCUUGGCCAGACUGUUGAGAAACUGCUCAAACUUGAUCAUUUAGAGGAAGUAAAAGUCGUAACA